AUCCUAAAGCAUGUUAAAGCAGAGGUCCACGGCUACGUCAGCUAGUGAAAUCGUUCGGUAAAAGUGAUCCUCAUCCCGAACGAAUGCUUCCUCCCCUGCCACACGCUCUCUUCAUCCUUAUCCUUUCAUCCCACACACACUGACCCAGCCACCGCAGACGGUGAGCGGAGCCGCGGAGGCCGACCGCCGCAGCUGGCUGCGAUACUCGCCGGCGCCGAGCACCAGGCCGGCGUGCUCCGGGUCCGAGCCGAGCGUCUCCAUCUGCUGUCGUGGGCGGAGGCCGAGGGGCGAGUGACGCGGCGGUCGCCGAGGCCGCCGCCAUCUGCGCGCUAAUCGCCGUCGCCGAGCUGACCGUCCCCGACGCCAUCGGAGUCCGCCAUCGCUCCGAGCUGCGUCUCCUCCGCCGCGCACCUUCGCACCCGUCGUGACGGCGCGGCUGGAGGCGACGGCGCCGUCCAGCACCUUGGCGCCCUCCUCCUCAUGAGCGACGGAACCCUCCUCGUCGUCUCCUCCGGCUUAUCGGACGCCGGGGAAUUUGUCUGUUGCGCGGCCGCCAGGAGGCGAGGGUGCCAUCCUACACCGCGGCACCCUCCGCCGUCAUGUCUCUCCUAGCACGGUGACCAGGCGAUGCCCAUGGGCGACGGGACCCUCCUGCUCGUCUUCUACGGGCGCUGCGGUUGCCGGGAAUUCUAGGCCGGAGGCCGUCAUGCACUAUUUUUUGCUAUCGCUGCUAUGUGUCGCUACUGUCAGGUAGUGAGACGCCUGCAGGUAUUCAGAAAAAAGGCCUGUAGGGCCCGGUGGAUGGGGCGUUCGCGCUGGUUCGUUCUUCUCCCGAACGAAAUCGUUCGGUCGAUGCCCCUGCCCUCCCGAACGAGUCGUUCGGGCCGGGGUGUCUACAGCCCGAACGUCCGGUACUUAUCGGCGUCCUCAGAUUUUCGCAUUUGCUGACAAUAGCUUAUAUAUAUGGUAUAUGUGUCUUGGAAUCUUGGUAGUGAUUUAGUGGUUCUUCCUGUUAAGUUGUGCAUAUGAGGUACAACUCUUUCUCCACCUGGGCCUUACAGGUCAUAAUACCUUUACAAGUACCAUGCUAAUAAAAAAUUCUUGAUUAAGUCUAUUAUUUUUUCCGUUGCACUAUACUUUAUUUUAAUUCCAUUGCUCUCCAUUAUUUUGGUAUCAAGGUCUAAAAAUGCAUGUUCUAGUACAAUAUUUGUUUUUUCGAAUGCUGUCUUUUUUGCUAAUAAAUAUAUGGUCCAAUCUGGAUUCAAAAUCUAAGAAAUUUAUGGCCUUGCGUAAAUAGUUGCAGUUACACUAUGAUGGAUUGUGUCUACUUUUCUUGAAUGGAAAACAGAGAAGCCGAGAUUCAGUCAUUAGUCGAUACAACAAUGUCCUCCGUGAAAUUGUGAUUCGGGCGAGCCUAGCUUAGCUUGGGACCACUGGAGAUUGUGUGGUGCAAGGGAGACAGACUCCAACGGAUAUUGUGUCGUGCUCAAUGACAGCAACAACAUGGAUAGUGAGGUCAUUGCCCUACAUGAUUGCCCUGUUUCCAAUCUGUUGGGUAGUCCUAUUUGGUUGAUUGUAUCUAUAGUAUGUUGAAAGCAGAUGUAACCUCGUUGAUUUUCACAUUAGAGGCCUCUUCAGUAUAUCUGAUCUUCUGUACGAGGAGCCUACAGUUUGUAAUGUUCUAUUUCUUUUGUGAAACCCCCACAACCUGUCUAUGAACCAUAUGCAUUAGACAUUCCCACAUGUAUUAAUUCUUUUUUUGAAAGGAAUGCUAAAAUUCUUAUGUUCAACUAUAA